rnacentral:rRNA from 1 species
GACGAACGCUGGCGGCGUGCUUAACACAUGCAAGUCGAACGGAAAGGCCCUGCUUUUGUGGGGUGCUCGAGUGGCGAACGGGUGAGUAACACGUGAGUAACCUGCCCUUGACUUUGGGAUAACUUCAGGAAACUGGGGCUAAUACCGGAUAGGAGCUCCUGCUGCAUGGUGGGGGUUGGAAAGUUUCGGCGGUUGGGGAUGGACUCGCGGCUUAUCAGCUUGUUGGUGGGGUAGUGGCUUACCAAGGCUUUGACGGGUAGCCGGCCUGAGAGGGUGACCGGCCACAUUGGGACUAAGAUACGGCCCAGACUCCUACGGGAGGCAGCAGGGGGGAGUAUGGCACAAUGGGCGGAAGCCUGAUGCAGCGGCGCCGCGUGCGGGAUGACGGCCUUCGGGUUGUAAACCGCUUUCGCCUGUGACGAAGCGUGAGUGACGGUAAUGGGUAAAGAAGCACCGGCUAACUACGUG